CCUACGGGCGGCAGCCGUGAGGAAUAUUGGUCAAUGGGCGCGAGCCUGAACCAGCCAAGUAGCGUGAAGGAUGACUGCCCUACGGGUUGUAAACUUCUUUUAUAAAGGAAUAAAGUGAGGCAAGUGUGCCUUUUUGUAUGUACUUUAUGAAUAAGGAUAGGAUAACUCCGUGCCAGCAGCCGCGGUAAUACGGAGGAGCCGAGCGUUAUCCGGAUUUAUUGGGUUUAAAGGGAACGUAGAUGGAUUGUUAAGUCAGUUGUGAAAGUUUGCGGCUCAACCGUAAAAUUGCAAUUGAUACUGGCAGCCUUGAGUACAGUUGAGGUAGGCGGAAUUCGUGGUGUAGCGGUGAAAUGCUUAGAUAUCACGAAGAACUCCGAUUGCGAAGGCAGCUUACUAAACUGCCACUGACAUUGAGGCUCGAAAGUGUGGGUAUCAAACAGGAUUAGAUACCCCUGUAGUC
rnacentral:rRNA from 1 species